AUCGCAGACCGCCUUAUCGUCGUUCCGAGCAAUCGGGAGGAAGGAAAGUCCGGACACCACAGAGUAGCAUAGCGGGUAAUGCCCGUCCGUCGAGAGGCGAGGACAAGUGCAACAGAAAGUAUGUACAGGUAAUGCUGUAGUGAAACCAGGUAAACUCUAUGCGGUGAAAUGCCAAGUAUAUCAGCAUUUAAGGGCGACUCGUCCGUUGUUGAAGGGUAGGCAGCUUGAGUUAUUCAGCAAUGAAUAAUCUAGAUAAAUGAUAAGGGCUAACUUCGGUUGGUACAGAAUCCGGCUUACAGGUCUGCAUUUUUU
rnacentral:RNase_P_RNA from 2 species